CCUACGGGAGGCAGCAGUGGGGAAUAUUGCACAAUGGGCGCAAGCCUGAUGCAGCGACGCCGCGUGAGGGAUGACGGCCUUCGGGUUGUAAACCUCUUUCAGUAGGGAAGAAGCGAAAGUGACGGUACCUGCAGAAGAAGCGCCGGUUAACUACGUGCCAGCAGCCGCGGUAAUACGUAGGGCGCGAGCGUUAUCCGGAAUUAUUGGGCGUAAAGAGCUCGUAGGCGGUUUGUCGCGUCUGCCGUGAAAGUCCGGGGCUUAACCCCGGAUCUGCGGUGGGUACGGGCAGACUAGAGUGCAGUAGGGGAGACUGGAAUUCCUGGUGUAGUGGUGAAAUGCGCAAUAUCAGGAGGAACACCGAUGGCGAAGGCAGGUCUCUGGGCUGUAACUGACGCUGAGGAGCGAAAGCAUGGGGAGCGCACAGGAUUAGAUUCCCUGGUAGUCCAUGCCGUAAACGUUGGGCACUAGGUGUGGGGGACAUUCCACGUUUUCCGCGCCGUAGCUAACGCAUUAAGUGCCCCGCCUGGGGAGUACGGCCGCAAGGCUUAAACUCAAAGGAAUUGACGGGG
rnacentral:rRNA from 1 species